UUGAACCUAAUUUGCACGCUAGCAAAGCAAAAGUGCAGAGAAAUAGAAUUUUUCAUUAUAAAGAGACCAAUUAUUAAAGUGGAAAUCAAAAUGUGCACCGGCGGUUCUCCUAGCAGCAAUGGUUCCCAAGCCGGCGAUAGCACCGAGACCGAGCAACAACCGCCAGCAACGCAACAACAGGAACAGACUCUGAGAAGAGCCAUUGAAGCAUCCACGACAGAAGAGAUUCUUGCUGAAUAUGGUGAAAAUUUGAAGCUUUUAACAUUGAAUUCGCAAGUUGCCGAGCUGCUGACCAUUAUCCGGGAUAAAAACACCUCGCGUAGCGAUUUUAAAUUUUAUGCUGACCGGCUAAUUCGGUUGGUCAUCGAGGAAUCUCUUAAUCAGCUGCCCUACACUGACUGCGACGUGGAGACGCCCACGGGUGCCAUUUAUGAGGGCCUUAAAUACCGUUCCGGUAACUGCGGCGUAUCCAUUAUACGUUCCGGCGAGGCCAUGGAGCAGGGAUUGCGAGAUUGCUGUCGCUCCAUACGCAUUGGCAAGAUCUUGGUCGAAUCGGAUGCUAAUACACACGAGGCACGCGUGGUGUAUGCCCGAUUUCCCGAUGACAUUGGCAGCCGCCAAGUGCUGCUCAUGUAUCCCAUAAUGUCCACUGGGAAUACAGUGCUGCAGGCUGUCAAUGUGCUGAGGGAACAUGGUGUGCCCGAGAAGUGCAUCAUACUGUCGAACCUGUUCUGCACACCUGUCGCCGCACGCACCGUGGUCAAUGCGUUUCCUAAAAUGAAGAUUCUCACCUCUGAGCUGCACCCAGUGGCGCCCAAUCACUUUGGCCAGAAAUACUUUGGUACUGACUAGAUAGGCAGUCACGGCAGUCAACAAGACUUGACAACUAAGCUCUGCUUAGGAUAGGUAGUGUGUAUGAUGAAUUGGAGGAGGAGGAUCCCCAACUACUAUCAAAUAUUAUAUUUAAUUAGCGUUUUAAAAUUUGGUUUUUAAUGAAAAAUCGCAAAGAUACGUGACUUGUUAAACUUAUGUAAAUACAAACAGAAUAAAUAUUAUAUAUAAUCACUUA